rnacentral:rRNA from 1 species
GAUGAACGCUGGCGGCGUGCCUAAUACAUGCAAGUCGAGCGAACGGACGAGAAGCUUGCUUCUCUGAUGUUAGCGGCGGACGGGUGAGUAACACGUGGAUAACCUACCUAUAAGACUGGGCUAACUUCGGGAAACCGGAGCUCAUACCGGAUAAUAUUUUGAACCGCAUGGUUCAAAAGUGAAAGACGGUCUUGCUGUCACUUAUAGAUGGAUCCGCGCUGCAUUAGCUAGUUGGUAAGGUAACGGCUUACCAAGGCAACGAUGCAUAGCCGACCUGAGAGGGUGAGCGGCCACACUGGAACUGAGACACGGUCCAGACUCCUACGGGAGGCAGCAGUAGGGAAUCUUCCGCAAUGGGCGAAAGCCUGACGGAGCAACGCCGCGUGAGUGAUGAAGGUCUUCGGAUCGUAAAACUCUGUUAUUAGGGAAGAACAUAUGUGUAAGUAACUGUGCACAUCUUGACGGUACCUAAUCAGAAAGCCACGGCUAACUACGU